rnacentral:rRNA from 1 species
UCCCUACGGGGGGCAGCAGUGAGGAAUAUUGGUCAAUGGGCGGGAGCCUGAACCAGCCAAGUCGCGUGAGGGACGACGGUCCUAUGGAUUGUAAACCUCUUUUGUCGGGGAACAAAGGCGCCCACGGGUGGGCGGAUGAGUGUACCCGAAGAAAAAGCAUCGGCUAACUCCGUGCCAGCAGCCGCGGUAAUACGGAGGAUGCGAGCGUUAUCCGGAUUUAUUGGGUUUAAAGGGUGCGUAGGCGGAAUGCCAAGUCAGCGGUAAAAUCGCGGGGCUCAACCUCGUUCCGCCGUUGAAACUGGCGU